UACGGGGGGGGCAAGCGUUGUUCGGAAUUACUGGGCGUAAAGGGUGCGUAGGUGGCCCUGUAAGUCAGUGGUGAAAUAUCUCAGCUUAACUGAGAGGGUGCCAUUGAUACUGCAGGGCUUGAGUACAGAUGAGGUAGGCGGAAUUGACGGUGUAGCGGUGAAAUGCAUAGAUAUCGUCAAGAACACCGAUAGCGAAGGCAGCUUACCAAGCUGUAACUGACACUGAGGCACGAAAGUGUGGGGAUCAAACAGG
rnacentral:rRNA from 1 species